GACCACGAGGUGCAUCCAUGAGAGGAGAUCGAAGGAAACUCCAAUUCCAGUCGCCCCCAUCCGUUGCUCAUCUCACCAGAAGCGAAGCCGGAGGAGGGAGGAAGGAGAUCACGAGCAGCCGGAGCCGGAGGCCGAGAGGAUGAAGACGUUCGACCCGUGGCCGGUCUUCUUCCACCGGGAGUGGAAGCGCAACUGUCCCUUCCUCACGGGGUUCACCAUCACCGGCUUCAUCAUCACCAAGAUGACAGCCAACUUCACCGAGGAGGACCUCAAGAACUCAAGUUCGUUCAGGAACACAAGAAGCGCUGACCAACCGGAAACAUUUUUAGUCUAUUAGCUCAGCGGGAGCUCUCACCUCGAACAAAAAACCAAGCAAAAAAUCUUUGGACCAAACCUCCAAGACUUGAUGCUUGUCCUAUUGAAUCGAAAUUUUGGGGCACCUAUGCUCAGCAUGAUCUCCUUUCUUGGGCUGAAGCAGAGUUCUUGCAUUGGUGGAUUCCCAAAGAUUGCCCUCUCACGCCUUCUUCGAAGGCAACUAUUUGUGAACACAUUUGUAGUUUACCCUCAGCUGUGAACACCUUCUGGUUUAUCUAUUUACUUGCACGAGAAACUUAUAUGACAAGAAUUUGUUUUGAUAGUUAUGCCAUAGUUAGUGAUAUGAGUGCUGCUGGACUUGGAUUAAACAAGUUUUGUUAUGCUGGAUUGAUAACUGCAUUCAAGAACAAGACACCAACCACUGAGGAAACUAUGGCGAAGAUUCUUGACUUCGUCGGGCAGUCGAAAGGUUGGCAAUAUGUUGAAAGAGUAUCAAAGGACAUUGCUGAGAAUAUAAUGAUGAAUGUGUUAGAGGAAGAACUGUACAACCUCCCAACAGCAGAAUAUGUAAAUAGGCGAGGAGGAUUUGUCUUUAAACAACAUACAGUUUAUCAUGUUGCUCUCCAAGCUUGUGCAGAAUUGCGAAGCAAAGAGACACUUGAAGCACUUCUGGAAAUGUUCAAUAAGGAUAAUAGAGAUGGAUCUACUUAUGAUGCCUACAUGGUGAUGCAAGCUAUGAGGUGUUACCUACGAUGUGGAGAUAUUGAUUCUGCUGUUAAGAUGUUUGAAGAGUAUUCAAGCUCGAGGUCCCCACCCGCUGAGUUGUAUGCGGUGAGUUACACCUAAUUUACAACAGAUCUG